UACGUAGGGGGCAAGCGUUUGUCCGGAUUUAUUGGGCGUAAAGCGCUCGCAGGUGGUUCGUUGCGUCGUGCGUGAAAGACCCCGGCUCAACUGGGGAGGGUCGUGCGAUACGGGCGAACUGGAGGCCAGUAGGGGGAUGCGGAAUUCCGGGUGUAGUGGUGGAAUGCGUAGAGAUCCGGAGGAACACCAGCGGCGAAGGCGGCAUCCUGGACUGGUCCUGACACUCAGGAGCGAAAGCGUGGGGAGCGAGUCCGG
rnacentral:rRNA from 1 species